GUUUCCUUCCUUCCAGCCUCUCGCUUUCCCCAACUUUCCAGCCCGGUGAGGAGUUGUAAGCCUGGCUGGAGAGCUCCCUUUCCUGGCCUCUGGGGCUUCUCAUGGCUUGGAGCCGGCGGUGGCGACCUCCCGUACUCACACUCACUCACUCUCUUUCUGAGCCCGUCGCGUGCCAGCCUGUGUGGAAACCCGAAGCCCCGCCCAUAACCCCGCCCCUCCCUCUCCCCUAACUCGUUCCCCCUCCCGCGCGCGCGCUUUCCCUGCAUCCCUUCCUCUCUCUCUCUCUCUCUCUCUCUCUCUCUGCCUCUCUUCCCCGUUUCCAUUGGCAGCCAGUGUUGCCGCAGCUCGCCCUCGCUUUCCCUUGUGGCGCGAGGCCUCGCUUUUGCCUCUCGGACCCCGCUCGCUGCGGCGUCAAGGGAAACUCCAGACGGACAGGAGCAGCGCGCGCGCACACGCACGCACGCACGCUCACGCGAGGGAGCGCGCGAGGCGGGCAGCUCUUGUCCUCGGUGCCCUCUGCAGCCUUCUCUCUCUCUGUGUGUGUAUAUGUGUGUAUUGUCUCUCUCUCUCUCUCUCUCUGUGAGGAAGACAUUGGGGUCUCUUUGAGGAAGAGGACGCAGCUGUGAGAAGAAAGGAGCUCCGAAAGGAGAAAAAGAGAGAGAGAAAGAAAAGGGGAGCAAGGGAGCGCGCGCAACCCAGUUGGAGCGCGCGCAACUCCUCGUCCUCCCCCUCCCCUCACGCCUUCUCCUCUCUUGUCAGGCGCCUUCCCUUCGUCCUUCCUUCCUUCCCUUGGCUCGGCGGACUCCCAUAUUCCAGCUUCAUGGGCAAAGUGUGGAAACAGCAGAUGUACCCCCAGUACACCACCUACUACUACCCUCAGUAUCUGCAGGCCAAGGCUCCCUGUAACAUCUCUCAGAUUGUUCCUUCGGAGCAGAACUUGGGGAGGACCACAAAAGAGAAAGGAAAUAUCGAAUAUGCUUUUUUUCUUUUUUCAAGUGACCCGUCUCUGUCAUGUUUUAAAGAACUGUCUGUUAGGGGAAACCAGCCGGAUGAAACGUAUAGAUAUUUUAAUAAUAUGAAUCCACAACCUGCAAGCAAUAGAUAUUGAGAAUUUAUUUAAAGAUUCCUAUUUAAGUAGAAAACAGCAAAAAUGUUCAUUAUACAUUUCAAAAAGAAAAAAAUACAGAAUAGGUCAAAUCUUCUUAUAUGAUGGUUUAAUGGAUUUUUAAAGGUUCAUCCCAAUCAAAGUGUUUGAAGCAGUUGAAAUGCUCUGCUCGUCAUUUUUAAUGUCUUCUUCACAGCUAGUCCUGAAACAUAAUAAUUACUUCUGCAACACAAAGUUGUCAUCCUGAAAAUUGCUAAUUACUUCUACAAAGUUCAUCCAAAUCAAAACGUUUGAAGCAAUUGAAAUGAUCCACACUCCAUUUUAAUGUCUUCUUCAUAGCUUGUCCUGAAACAUACUAAUUACUCCUACAAUGCAGUUGUGGAAACAAGGAAUAGUGUACAGUGCCAUGAUUCAGUGUCUGAGCUUCCCACACUUAGGUGCUAAAUUUGGUGGAUCAAAGAUGCAGUGACUUCUUUCAGAACAGAAAUAACAGGCUCUGUAUGGAAUCAAUACGGAAGAAGAAUUCUAUAAACAGAAACCUCUUGUUUCUAAAUUAGUUAUUGGGUAGAAAGUGGUGUGGUGUCAUUGGCAAGAAUUAAGCAAAAUCUAAUAAUUUAAGACUUAUUUCAACACAAAAGCUCAGCUUAAAUUAUUCCCACUGAAGUCAGUACAACUCAGUUCUGGCUGGAUUCUGCACAUAUAGUAUCUAUUUGCAACAAAAUAAGUCUCAGCUUUUGUAAUAACAACAUUGGUAGUUAUAGUAUUAUGGUUGUGUCUACAUUCAUGCAAAAUGCAGGACAUUUUUAACAUUACAUUUUGCUAAUAAAAAAACAGAUAUACUGUAAUGUAAAUUCAAAAAUGUACAGACAACUUGCUUGAUUCUUCCUGCAUGUUUUUUGAAGAAGAGUUUAUUAAAAACCCCACAGAAUACAGACUAAUAGCACACCUCUGGCUUAGCCUAAGAAAAUAUGGGAAAUAUUUGUGUUUGUAUGUGAACAAAUAUAUAUGUAUAUGUGUUCAGUGUGGCCUCUGCUGUCCAAAGUUAUAACAAAAAAACUCUGUAAGAAAAUGCUGACUAAACAAUGUUCCAAUCUGAAACUUAACUCAAGAGAUUUUGAAUCUUCAGUUUUUACCUCCGGGUCAUGAAGGAUAUAUACAAACUAUCACUGUAUAUUGUGGCAUUUGUUUGUGAUGGCCGUGUUUCCAAUGCAUUAUUUCCUUUCGUUGUUUCUGAUGUUGUAGUGUGCUUUCAAGUGGUUUCUGACUUAGGGAGAGCUUAAGGUGAACCCUUCACAGAGUUUCUCUGGCAAGAUUUCUGUGCCGGGGAAGGGGGAAUUGCCUUUGUAUUUCUUUGAGGCUCAGUGUAUCUGUAGCACCUGUUUAUUAGUUUAAAAGCCACAUUAAAUCAAAUGGUGUACAUCUUAUAUACGAUCUUGCCUAGUAUGAAGUCAUUUUUACCUCAAGCCCAAGUGAAGGUUUCACUAAGAAAGAAAAGCUUUUGUAAACUUCAGAGUGGGCUUGUGGGAUAAACGAUUUUGGAACUGAAAAAAUGAAUUUUGUUAUAAAAAGCUGAGAAUGCAGUUGUAACUGGUGCAUGUGGUUAUAUUAAAAAGCCCGAAAAUUCCUACAGAUGCACCAUGAAUUUGUUAAUUUAAAACUCAAUCCAUUCAACAUAUUCUGAAGACCUAGACAGCCAGUAUGGUACAGUGGUUUGAGUCCUGGACUAGAACGCCAAAUUCAAAUCCCUAUUUAGCCAUGGAAACCCACCGGGUGACUUGUGGAAACCUCGCUCUCACAGAUUCAGAGGAAGGCAGUGGCAAACCUCCACUGAAUAAAUCCUGCCAAGGAUACCCACAGUAGGUUCGCCUUAGGGUCACCAUCGGUUGGAAACAAUUUGAAGGCACACCACAGUUUCAGUGAUCAAUUUUAGCUAUAAUUUACUGACUGCAUGCCAAGAUAUAUUACAUUUGGUUUAGCUAGUGCCAUGUGCAUAAUAUUUAAGAGUAAUGAAAACACAUAUGCUUCUUGACAGCUUAUUAUAAAGACAAUCCAAUGUUCUUUUGCUUUUCUCUACCUUAUUGCAGUAGAGAUAGAGCCAACUGGAGAUAUUUGACUGAGAAGAACACUGGCAGUUGUUCUAACACAGGCGUUGGCUGAUUUCUGCAUAUUUAUAGAAUGACCUGCAAAAUGAAUGAUUAAAAAAAUAAAAGAUAAAUUAUUUCAUGGGUAAUCAGGCUAUACAGUUUUCAGUUUACCAAUCAAGCCAAAGUGUUUUGUUUCAACCAUGUAUGCAUUACUAAGGUGUGUUCUCACAUAGCUUAAUUUUGAAACAGACUUAUUUUUUGUUACAAAUUAGAUCAUGGGCAAAAACAUUAGGAUGUUCUGAUUGAAAUUUGGAAGGCUUGUUCAGGCACAAAAUAAAAUGUUCUUCCUACUAGAUCUGACCACAGACAAUGUUGGGACUUCAUGCGGUAAGGCAGCACCUCUAAAUCCUGCCACCAUCUCACAAACUCUGUAAGCCAAUUGCAACAACUUUUAUUGAAAUUGUUGCUUUAAGAAUAGAAAUUACCUUUCUUCCAGUACCA
rnacentral:lncRNA from 11 species